rnacentral:rRNA from 1 species
CCAGACUCCUACGGGAGGCAGCAGUGGGGAAUAUUGCACAAUGGGGGAAACCCUGAUGCAGCGACGCCGCGUGAAGGAAGAAGUAUCUCGGUAUGUAAACUUCUAUCAGCAGGGAAGCAAACAGACGGUACCUGACUAAGAAGCCCCGGCUAACUACGUGCCAGCAGCCGCGGUAAUACGUAGGGGGCAAGCGUUAUCCGGAUUUACUGGGUGUAAGGGGAGCGUAGACGGUCCUGCAAGCCAGAUGUGAAAGCCCGGGGCCCAACCCCGGGACUGCUCUUGGAACUGCGUGGCUGGAGUGCAGGAGGGGCAGGCGGAAUUCCUGGUGUAGCGGUGAAAUGCGUAGAUAUCAGGAGGAACACCGGUGGCGAAGGCGACUUACUGGACUGUAACUGACGUUGAGGCACGAAAGUGUGGGGAGCAAACAGGAUUAGAUACCCCAGUACG